rnacentral:rRNA from 1 species
AACAAUAGUACGUGAAACCUCUCGGGGGUAAGCGGGCAGAACUUGCAAGUAUUGGCGAGAAUAUUCAGGCUUAUUAUGUUGGCGACUGAGGGUGCUUUAUUAUGUUGUCCGUUUCGGCGGAUUGGCUGGUGUGUGCCCUUUGGUUUGUUGAUGAUGCGCCGCAUUUAUUCUCGUCAUCGGGUUGCAUGUGACUGAGAUACGGUAGUUUAGGUGCUGGGGAUCUGCGAAGCCUUGUUGUUUCGAGUCCUGGUUUCCAACUACUGCUGCGGUCAUUAUACACAUUAUAUUGAGCAGGCGUUUAGGCGCGGUCAAAGGCUUGUACGAGUUGUGUGCGUAUGAUGUGUGGACGGUUUAUUCCGUAGCAUGUUGUACGAGGCUGAUUGUCGGUACGAGUAAUAUUUGGCUCUG